rnacentral:rRNA from 1 species
UUAAGCGACUAAGCGUACACGGUGGAUGCCCUGGCAGUCAGAGGCGAUGAAGGACGUGCUAAUCUGCCGAAAAGCGUCGGUAAGGUGAUAUGAACCGUUAUAACCGGCGAUGUCCGAAUGGGGAAACCCAGUGCAAUUCGUUGCACUAUCGUUAACUGAAUACAUAGGUUAACGAGGCGAACCGGGGGAACUGAAACAUCUAAGUACCCCGAGGAAAAGAAAUCAACCGAGAUUCCCCCAGUAGCGGCGAGCGAACGGGGAGCAGCCCAGAGUCUGAAUCAGCUUGUGUGUUAGUGAACGGUCUGGAAAGUCCGACGGUACAGGGUGAUAGUCCCGUACACCAAAAUGCACAGGCUGUGAACUCGAAGAGUAGGGCGGGACACGUGGUAUCCUGUCUGAAUAUGGGGGGACCAUCCUCCAAGGCUAAAUACUCCUGACUGACCGAUAGUGAACCAGUACCGUGAGGGAAAGGCGAAAAGAACCCCGGCGAGGGGAGUGAAAAAGAACCUGAAACCGUGUACGUACAAGCAGUGGGAGCACCUUCGGGUGUGACUGCGUACCUUUUGUAUAAUGGGUCAGCGACUUAUAUUCUGUAGCAAGGUUAACCGUAUAGGGGAGCCGCAGGGAAACCGAGUCUUAACUGGGCGUUAAGUUGCAGGGUAUAGACCCGAAACCCGGUGAUCUAGCCAUGGGCAGGUUGAAGGUUGGGUAACACUAACUGGAGGACCGAACCGACUAAUGUUGAAAAAUUAGCGGAUGACUUGUGGCUGGGGGUGAAAGGCCAAUCAAACCGGGAGAUAGCUGGUUCUCCCCGAAAGCUAUUUAGGUAGCGCCUCGUGAAUUCAUCUUCGGGGGUAGAGCACUGUUUCGGCUAGGGGGUCAUCCCGACUUACCAACCCGAUGCAAACUACGAAUACCGAAGAAUGUUAUCACGGGAGACACACGGCGGGUGCUAACGUCCGUCGUGAAGAGGGAAACAACCCAGACCGCCAGCUAAGGUCCCAAAGUCAUGGUUAAGUGGGAAACGAUGUGGGAAGGCACAGACAGCCAGGAUGUUGGCUUAGAAGCAGCCAUCAUUUAAAGAAAGCGUAAUAGCUCACUGGUCGAGUCGGCCUGCGCGGAAGAUGUAACGGGGCUAAACCAUGCACCGAAGCUGCGGCAGCGACACUAUGUGUUGUUGGGUAGGGGAGCGUUCGUAAGCCUGCGAAGGUGUGCUGUGAGGCAUGCUGGAGGUAUCAGAAGUGCGAAUGCUGACAUAAGUAACGAUAAAGCGGGUGAAAAGCCCGCUCGCCGGAAGACCAAGGGUUCCUGUCCAACGUUAAUCGGGGCAGGGUGAGUCGACCCCUAAGGCGAGGCCGAAAGGCGUAGUCGAUGGGAAACAGGUUAAUAUUCCUGUACUUGGUGUUACUGCGAAGGGGGACGGAGAAGGCUAUGUUACCGGGCGACGGUUGUCCGGUUUAAGCAUGUAGGCUGGUUGUCCAGGCAAAUCCGGAUAAUCAAGGCUGAGGUGUGAUGACGAGGCACUACGGUGCUGAAGUAACAAAUGCCCUGCUUCCAGGAAAAGCCUCUAAGCAUAGGUACAUCAAUCGUACCCCAAACCGACACAGGUGGUCAGGUAGAGAAUACCAAGGCGCUUGAGAGAACUCGGGUGAAGGAACUAGGCAAAAUGGUGCCGUAACUUCGGGAGAAGGCACGCUGGGUGUGUAGGUGAAGUCCCUGCGGAUGGAGCUGAGACCAGUCGAAGAUACCAGCUGGCUGCAACUGUUUAUUAAAAACACAGCACUGUGCAAACACGAAGUGGACGUAUACGGUGUGACGCCUGCCCGGUGCCGGAAGGUUAAUUGAUGGGGUUAUCCGUAAGGAGAAGCUCUUGAGUCGAAGCCCCGGUAAACGGCGGCCGUAACUUAACGGUCCUAAGGUAGCGAAAUUCCUUGUCGGGUAAGUUCCGACCUGCACGAAUGGCGUAAUGAUGGCCAGGCUGUCUCCACCCGAGACUCAGUGAAAUUGAACUCGCUGUGAAGAUGCAGUGUACCCGCGGCAAGACGGAAAGACCCCGUGAACCUUUACUAUAGCUUGACACUGAACAUUGAGCCUUGAUGUGUAGGAUAGGUGGGAGGCUUGAAGCGUGGACGCCAGUCUGCGUGGAGCCAACCUUGAAAUACCACCCUUUAAUGUUUGAUGUUCUAACGUUGGCCCCUUACCGGGGUUGCGGACAGUGUCUGGUGGGUAGUUUGACUGGGGCGGUCUCCUCCCAAAGCGUAACGGAGGAGCACGAAGGUUAGCUAAUCCUGGUCGGACAUCAGGAGGUUAGUGCAAUGGCAUAAGCUAGCUUGACUGCGAGCGUGACGGCGCGAGCAGGUGCGAAAGCAGGUCAUAGUGAUCCGGUGGUUCUGAAUGGAAGGGCCAUCGCUCAACGGAUAAAAGGUACUCCGGGGAUAACAGGCUGAUACCGCCCAAGAGUUCAUAUCGACGGCGGUGUUUGGCACUCGAUGUCGGCUCAUCACAUCCUGGGGCUGAAGUAGGUCCCAAGGGUAUGGCUGUUCGCCAUUUAAAGUGGUACGCGAGCUGGGUUUAGAACGUCGUGAGACAGUUCGGUCCCUAUCUGCCGUGGGCGCUGGAGAAUUGAGGGGGGCUGCUCCUAGUACGAGAGGACCGGAGUGGACGCAUCACUGGUGUUCGGGUUGUCAUGCCAAUGGCACUGCCCGGUAGCUAAAUGCGGAAGAGAUAAGUGCUGAAAGCAUCUAAGCACGAAACUUGCCCCGAGAUGAGUUCUCCCUGAGACUUUAAGUCUCCUGAAGGAACGUUGAAGACGACGACGUUGAUAGGCCGGGUGUGUAAGCGCAGCGAUGCGUUGAGCUAACCGGUACUAAUGAACCGUGAGGCUUAACCUU